rnacentral:rRNA from 1 species
GACGAACGCUGGCGGCGUGCCUAACACAUGCAAGUCGAACGAAGCAUAGCAAUAUGCUUAGUGGCGGACGGGUGAGUAACGCGUGAACAAUCUGCCCUGUACAAAGGAAUAGCCUCGGGAAACCGGGAUUAAAACCGUAUGACACUUUAGUAUCGCAUGAUAAGAAAGUCAAAUCGAAUAGAGGUAUGGGAUGAGUUCGCGUCUGAUUAGCUGGUUGGCGGGGUAAACGGCCCACCAAGGCGACGAUCAGUAGCCGGCCUGAGAGGGUGAACGGCCACACUGGAACUGAGACACGGUCCAGACUCCUACGGGAGGCAGCAGUGGGGAAUAUUGCACAAUGAGGGAACUCUGAUGCAGCGACGCCGCGUGAGUGGAAGAAGGUCUUCGGAUCGUAAAACUCUGUCCUUGGUGAAGAAAAGGACGGUAGCCAAGGAGGAAGCCCCGGUAACUACGUG